CCCCUACGGGUCGCAGCAGUGGGGAAUAUUGCACAAUGGGGGAAACCCUGAUGCAGCGACGCCGCGUGAGUGAAGAAGUAUUUCGGUAUGUAAAGCUCUAUCAGCAGGGAAGAAAAUGACGGUACCUGACUAAGAAGCCCCGGCUAACUACGUGCCAGCAGCCGCGGUAAUACGGAGGAUGCGAGCGUUAUCCGGAUUUAUUGGUUUUAAAGGGAGCGUAGGCGGUCCGUUAAGGCAGCGGUAAAAUUGCGGGGCUCAACCCCGUCGAGC
rnacentral:rRNA from 1 species